UACGUAGGGUGCGAGCGUUGUCCGGAAUUAUUGGGCGUAAAGAGCUUGUAGGCGGUUUGUCGCGUCUGCUGUGAAAAUCCGGGGCUCAACCCCGGACUUGCAGUGGGUACGGGCAGACUAGAGUGUGGUAGGGGAGACUGGAAUUCCUGGUGUAGCGGUGAAAUGCGCAGAUAUCAGGAGGAACACCAGCGGCGAAGGCGGCAUCCUGGCCCUUACCUGACGCUGAGGCGCGAGAGCGUGGGGAGCGAACAGG
rnacentral:rRNA from 1 species